rnacentral:rRNA from 1 species
UACGGAGGGGGCGAGCGUUAUUCGGAAUUAUUGGGCGUAAAGGGCGCGUAGGCGGCCCUGUAAGUCAAAGGUGAAAUCCCUCGGCUCAACUGAGGAACUGCCUUUGAAACUGCAGGGCUUGAGUCCGGGAGGGGGUAGCGGAAUUCCCAGUGUAGCGGUGAAAUGCGUAGAUAUUGGGAGGAACACCGGUGGCGAAGGCGGCUACCUGGACCGGCACUGACGCUGAGGCGCGAAAGCGUGGGGAGCAAAC